AUACGGAGGAUACAAGCGUUAUCCGGAUUUAUUGGGUUUAAAGGGUGCGCAGGCGGACCGCUAAGUCAGGGGUGAAAAGUUCGUGCUUAACAUGAAUCGUGCCUUUGAUACUGGCGGACUAGAGUGCGAUAGGCGUGGCAGGAAUGUGGUGUGUAGCGGUGCAAUUCUUAGAUAUGCCACAGAAAACCGAUCUAGAAGCCAGGUCACGAGUUCGCAACUGACGAUCAUGCUCGAAAGCGUGGGGAUCAAACAGGAUUAGAUACCCUGGUAGUCCACGCCGUAAACGAUGAUCACUCGUUGCCGGGGGGCGACCUUCGGUGGCCAAGCGAAAGCGAUAAGUGAUCCACCUGGGGAGUACGAUCGCAAGGUUGAAACUCAAAGGAAUUGACGGGG
rnacentral:rRNA from 1 species